AGAUGAUUAGGGUGAAGUCGUAACAAGGUAGCCGUAGGAGAACCUGCGGCUGGAUCACCUCCUUUCUAAGGAA
rnacentral:rRNA from 2 species